GAACUGCGAUAAGUAAUGUGAAUUGCAGAAUUCAGUGAAUCAUCAAGUCUUUGAACGCACAUUGCGCCCCCUGGCAUUCCGGGGGGCAUGCCUGUCCGAGCGUCAUUGCUGCCCUUCAAGCCCGGCUUGUGUGUUGGGUCGUCGUCCCCUCCGGGGGACGGGCCCGAAAGGCAGCGGCGGCACCGCGUCCGGUCCUCGAGCGUAUGGGGCUUUGUCACCCGCUCGAUAAGGACCGGCCGGGCGCCAGCCGGCGUCUCCAACCUUUUUUUCUCAGGUUGACCUCGGAUCAGGUAGGGAUACCCGCUGAACUUAAGC
rnacentral:misc_RNA from 1 species